rnacentral:rRNA from 1 species
AUACAUGCAAGUCGAACGCUGAAGCACUCUGCUUGCAGAGUGUGGAUGAGUGGCGAACGGGMGAGUAACACGUGGAGAACCUGCCCAUAAGAGGGGGAUAACAUCCGGAAACGGGUGCUAAUACCGCAUAGGUAUCCGACACGCAUGUGUCGGCUAUGAAAGACGGCUUCGGCUGUCGCUUAUGGAUGGCUCCGCGGCGUAUUAGCUAGUUGGUGAGGUAAUGGCUCACCAAGGCAGUGAUACGUAGCCGACCUGAGAGGGUGAUCGGCCACACUGGGACUGAGACACGGCCCAGACUCCUACGGGAGGCAGCAGUAGGGAAUCUUCCACAAUGGGCGCAAGCCUGAUGGAGCAAUGCCGCGUGAAUGAAGAAGGUCUUCGGAUCGUAAAGUUCUGUUAUCGGAGAAGAACACGUCGAGUAGUAACUGGCUCGACCUUGACGGUAUCCGACCAGAAAGUCACGGCUAACUACGUGCCAGCAGCCGCGGUAAUACGUAGGUGACAAGCGUUGUCCGGAUUUAUUGGGCGUAAAGCGAGCGCAGGCGGUCUUUUAAGUCUGAUGUGAAAGCCCACGGCUCAACCGUGGAUGGUCAUUGGAAACUGGAGGACUUGAAUGCAGAAGAGGUAAGUGGAAUUCCAUGUGUAGCGGUGAAAUGCGUAGAUAUAUGGAGGAACACCAGUGGCGAAGGCGACUUACUGGUCUGUUAUUGACGCUGAGGCUCGAAAGCGUGGGGAGCGAACAGGAUUAGAUACCCUGGUAGUCCACGCCGUAAACGAUGAGUGCUAAGUGUUGGAGGGUUUCCGCCCUUCAGUGCUGGAGCUAACGCAUUAAGCACUCCGCCUGGGGAGUACGGCCGCAAGGCUGAAACUCAAAGG